UACGAAGGGGGCUAGCGUUGUUCGGAAUUACUGGGCGUAAAGCGUGCGCAGGCGGCUUCUCAAGUCAGGGGUGAAAUCCCAGAGCUCAACUCUGGAACUGCCUUUGAUACUGGGUAUCUUGAGUAUGGAAGAGGUAAGUGGAAUUGCGAGUGUAGAGGUGAAAUUCGUAGAUAUUCGCAGGAACACCAGUGGCGAAGGCGGCUUACUGGUCCAUAACUGACGCUGAGGUGCGAAAGCGUGGGGAGCAAACAGG
rnacentral:rRNA from 1 species